rnacentral:tRNA from 1 species
UAGCUCAGUGGUAGAGCAUGUGCUUAGCAUGCACGGAGCCCUGGGUUCAAUCCCUAG